rnacentral:rRNA from 1 species
UACGGAGGGUGCAAGCGUUAUCCGGAUUUACUGGGUUUAAAGGGCGCGCAGGCGGAUUGGUAAGUCAGUGGUGAAAUACCCGUGCUUAACAUGGGAACUGCCAUUGAUACUAUCAGUCUUGAAUGUUGUUGAGGUUUGCGGAAUGGGUCAUGUAGCGGUGAAAUGCGUAGAUAUGACCCGGAACACCUAUUGCGAAGGCAGCAGGCUAAACAAAUAUUGACGCUGAGGCUCGAAAGCGUGGGGAUCAAACAGG